UAUAGACACAGACCCCAUUUAGCUCAUUCACCAAUAACCACCAUGUCCGUCAAAGAGUGCGGCCACCACUCAUCCCAACGCCGCAACCUCCUCCGCCUCAUCCUCGGCGCCAUCGCAGCCUUCGUCGUCCUCAUCCUCCUCGUCAUCUUCCUCAUCUGGGUCAUCCUCCGCCCCACAAAGCCCCACUUCACCCUCCAAGACGCCACCCUCUACGCCUUCAACCUCUCCACCCCCACACCCAACACCCUCACCCUCACCAUGCAGGUCACCCUCUCCUCCCACAACCCCAACGCGCGCAUCGGCGUAUACUACCACGCGCUCCGCGUCUACGCCUCCUACCGGAGCCAGCAGAUCUCCCUCGCCACCGCGCUCCCCGACACCUACCAGGGCCACCGCGACUUCGCCGUCUGGUCGCCGUUUCUCUUCGGCAAUGUCGUCCCCGUCGCGCCGUUUGUGCUGACCUCGCUGCAGCAGGACCAGAGCGCCGCCGGCGCCGUAAUGGUCAACGUUAAGGUCAACGGGAGGGUCAAGUGGAAGGUCGGGUCUUGGGUCUCUGGGAGGUACCAUAUCUACGUGAACUGUCCCGCGUAUAUUAGCUUCGCCGGAGAUCGGAGCAAUGUCGCCGGAGUCGUGGCUUCUCCGGUGAAGUUUCGCCUCUUGCAGAGUUGCAGUGUUGAUGUGUAGAAGUGAUCAGGUUUUUGUUCUGCCGCUAGCUGCUUCAAGCAUCUUGUUCGCUACCCGUGGAGAUUAACCAACAUCAUCGACGUGUAGUCGUCCUGCACCAUAAACUUGGUUAUAUGUAAUGGUUUCUCUUGGAGGUUAGUCUUUGAUGGAAGAAGAUCUAAUAACCUAUAGUUUUGUAUUAAUCACGAUCGAGAUUUAAUCAAUUAAUAUUU